rnacentral:rRNA from 1 species
CGAACGGGUGAGUAAUGUAUCGGAACGUGCCCAGUAGCGGGGGAUAACUACGCGAAAGCGUAGCUAAUACCGCAUACGCCCUACGGGGGAAAGCGGGGGAUCGCAAGACCUCGCACUAUUGGAGCGGCCGAUAUCGGAUUAGCUAGUUGGUGGGGUAAUGGCCCACCAAGGCGACGAUCCGUAGCUGGUUUGAGAGGACGACCAGCCACACUGGGACUGAGACACGGCCCAGACUCCUACGGGAGGCAGCAGUGGGGAAUUUUGGACAAUGGGGGCAACCCUGAUCCAGCCAUCCCGUUUUUUUGAUGAAGGCCUUCGGGUUGUAAAGCACUUUUGGCAGGAAAGAAACGGCGCUGGAUAAUACCUGGCGCAACUGACGGUACCUGCAGAAUAAGCACCGGCUAACUACGUGCCAGCAGCCGCGGUAC